UGACUCUUGACAACAAAACAGAAGGACAUCAGUCAGAUACCAGGAAGUAAGUUCAAUGGAACAACAGAUCCAGUGUCCCAAGAAAGCCUUCAACUUGAAGUGGAAGCCUUUCAGCAUCUUGAAACAGAGACUAUAGGCAAGAGAAAUUGCCACUGUGAAGAAGCAGCCCCUGCAACAGGACAAAGCCUGGAUGUUGUGGAUGAGUCUCACAUAUGUGCUUGACUGGGUGCCAAAUUCUUUCUUCACCCUCCCUGUGCUGCUAGUGUUUGGGAAUAUUUCUCUGUUGAG